AAGAAACCACAGUUGGGUGAGGGAGUUCUUAGAGACACAAAUGGGGGGUGGGGGGUUCCAAAGGCUCUGUGAAUGUGGAAGAACACUGAACAAGAGGAUGAGGAAGAGAAGGAACAGCACUUAAGAAGAUCUUCAGAAAAAAGGACUUGCUUAAUUUCACAGCAGGGAGAGUACUAAUAGGAGAAAAUCCCUAUACAAUAACCAUGAUGUGAAAAAACGGAUGCCCAACAGAUAUUCUGGAUUCAAAUCCAUGAGGCCUUGGCCAUGCUGGCUGGGAUCCUCAGCCAAAGGAGGAGAUCAAUUUUGCUGCUGGGCCCGUCUGAAGUUUGCUAGAGAGCAUUUGGAUGAUCCAGAAGAGGAUUGGGAGAAUGUCAUAUG